ensembl:lncRNA
GACAAAUUAGAGAUGUUUCCAUGUUUGUUGGGCUGAGGUGUAUUGCUGUUUACACAUGUAGGCAGGAAUAUUUCCCAUGUUCUGACUUAGCAAAGGUAAGGUGUGAAGGUAUGUCCAAAGCUCCCUGGCUUAGUGUAGUUAUAAAUAGCCCAGUGCACGGGUGUGAGAGUGCACUUGGCAGAAGCCUCUGCGAGAGGUCUGUCAUCAGCCCAGCCCCACCAGCCAUCUCCCUCUGACAGAAGCCAAGAGCCCAACUGAUGGGAGUUUACACUAGGACAUGUCUAAACCGGAGGAUGGAGGAUCAGCUAUGCCAGGGGGGAGGUGCUGUAAUAGUAUCAUUCUAAGGAGAGAAGCAGACGUGGGUGUUCAACUACACAGAGGACAGGAGACCUGCAAAAGAAGAACCGUUGGUCCAGCCCACCGUUUAACUCUCUAACACACUCUCACAAAACCCUUUCAAAUGUUGUCACUUGACAGACUGGGUUGACUUUGACAAAAAAAAAAGUUCCACCAAAACUGUUGUCAAAACAAACACCCAAACAAUCAAACAUUCAGAUGUUGUCUCCUGUCUCUCUGUCAGGGGAAAGACCAUGUGUAAGAGGAGGAGUAGAUCAGGGAUAUUAAAGUAGAUCUCAGAGGUUUUUUCUUUUGCCUAAACUGUGACAGACAAUGGCUGUACUUCACUGCCUUUCUCUUUGGCAGGACUGCUGCAUGAGAUACAUUGUCAUGGCCAAGUCAAUCCUAAACGCAUGUCCAUGUAGGAUAUCUCCAAGUAAGAAGCAACAUGUUUAAUCAAAACUUCUUAGUUUUGAAAAGGUAUGACAUACUACUUAAGAAUAAACAACAAAAAUAAAACUAUGGCAAAUGUGCUUCCAGUGAUGUAUAAUACGGUUACAUAUCUUCCUUUGCACCACUCCUGUGAGAGAGAACUAAAACAGAACUGAUUGGGAAGCCAAGCUCUUCAUUCCACUCAUGAGAUGGAAUAACCCUCUUUCUGGCUGACGGAUCGGACUUAUAUUAACGUCGAAGAGAAAGUAUUUCUGCUUUUGGAAAGUCUGUCUUCUUCUGGCCAAGGGACAUUCAACGUAAUUCUGGAUGAUGCGGGGCAUAUUUUAUGAUCACAUUACAAUGAUUUGUUUAGUGAUAGUUUUAUAGAUGGAGUUCACUGAAAUGUGUCAAUUGUCAAUUACAAACAUCAUUCUAUAAAUAUUGGCAUGAAAGCAUAGAAGAUUAUGUACAUAAUUUGCCAGGUCCUCUCUUAAAAUAAGCGGGCAGGAAAAUAAUUUGUAUCUAGAUUUGUGCAUCAUUGAUGUGAUGAUAUACUGACAAGGUGCAUUAUUCUAUUACCAAGUAAACAAGAUUAAUUUCUGGCAUUCUGAAAUGGCAGACUGACACUUCGGCUUUGAUGGAGGCCAGAAAAGUCCAGGCUGCUUAAAUAUGCAAGGGCAGCCAGUGGCCAAUCAGAUGGAAGAACCGAGCCCAACACAAUCGUCAUGUGCACAUUAGAAACAAACAAGCUGUCUGGCGAUUUAUGACUGUCCAUAAAGGACUAAGUCAGAUGUUUCUAUACGUUCUCUGUCCCACCUGUGCUAUCUGGGGAUUACACACAGAAACACAUGACAAAUAUCAGAGCUCUAUAGCUUACAAUUGAAAAUACAAUUAAAAUGGGUGCAACAAAGACGUAACAGUGUGUUUAAAUGAUUCACUGAAAACUUUGAAUAACAUGCACUUAUAUCAUGCAUGUUUUUCAAUUCAUAUAGUUUUAUAUAUUUUAAUCUGAAACUCUUUCUACCCACAUCCAUGAUUUCUUUGUAUUACCAAUGAAUAAAGAAUGACAGUGAGCUCUAGAGCUUCUACAACUGUGUAGUAGGCCCGGGUACACUUUUUUGAAGGACAAUUGGAAGGAACUGCUUUAUGUGGUUGAGUGGAAUCGACAGAUUGUGAAAU